rnacentral:piRNA from 1 species
UCCCAAACACGAGUGACUCUCAAGAAGUA